GACGAACGCUGGCGGCGUGCUUAACACAUGCAAGUCGAACGGAAAGGCCCUGCUUUUGUUUGGUUCUCGAGUUGCGAACGUGUUAGUAACACGUUAGUAACCUGCCCUUUACUUUGUUAUAACUUCAGGAAACUUGUUCUAAUACCGGAUAUUAUCUCCUGCUGCAUGGUGGUGGUUGGAAAUUUUCGGCGGUUGGGGAUGGACUCGCGGCUUAUCAGCUUGUUGGUGGGGUAGUGGCUUACCAAGGCUUUGACGGGUAGCAGGCCUGAGAGGGUGACCGGGCAAAUUGGGACUGAGAGACGGACCAGAAUCCUACGGGAGGCAGCAGUGGGGAAUAGUGCACAAUGGGCGGAAGCCUGAUGCAGAAAAGCCGGGUGCGGGAUGACGGCCUUCGGGUUGUAAACCGAUGUCGAAUGUGACGAAGAGUGAGUGACGGUAAUGGGUAAAGAAGCACCGGCUAACUACGUG
rnacentral:rRNA from 1 species